rnacentral:rRNA from 1 species
GACGAACGCUGGCGGCGUGCUUAACACAUGCAAGUCGAACGGUGAUUCGUCUUUCUUUUUGGUGGUUGUGGUUGAGUGGCGAACGGGUUAGUUACACGUUAUUAACCUUCCCUCUUCUUCUGGAUAACCGCAUGAAAGUGUGGCUAAUACGGGCUUUUCUUGUUCUUUCGCAUCAUGUGUUUGUGAAAGCUCUUGUUUCUGUGGGUGAUGGGCUCACGGCUUAUCAGCUUGUUGGUGUGGGGGUGGCCUACCAAGGCGGUGAGAGGUAGACGGCGUGAGAGGGUGGACGGUCACACUGGGACAGAGACACGGCGAAGACACGUACAGGAGGCAGAAGUGGGGAAAAUAGCACAAUAGGGGUAAGAGUGAGGCAGAGACGCCGCGUGAGGGAGGGUGACGUUCGAGUUGUGAACAUCUUUCGCCAGUGAAGCAGGAAUGCCUCGUUUGUGGGUGGGUUGAAGGUAGCUGGAUAAGAAGCGCCGGCUAACUACGUG